GAGGGUAUAGCCAGUGCUAGAGUAUGUGCUUAGCAUGCACGAGGUCCUGGGUUCAAUUCCUAGUACCUCCA
rnacentral:tRNA from 1 species